rnacentral:rRNA from 1 species
GAGCUUGCUCUCUGAUUUUAGCGGCGGACGGGUGAGUAACACGUGGGCAACCUGCCCUACAGAUGGGGAUAACUCCGGGAAACCGGGGCUAAUACCGAAUAAUCAGUUUGUCCGCAUGGACAAACUCUGAAAGACGGUUUCGGCUGUCACUGUAGGAUGGGCCCGCGGCGCAUUAGCUAGUUGGUGGGGUAAUGGCCUACCAAGGCAACGAUGCGUAGCCGACCUGAGAGGGUGAUCGGCCACACUGGGACUGAGACACGGCCCAGACUCCUACGGGAGGCAGCAGUAGGGAAUCUUCCACAAUGGACGAAAGUCUGAUGGAGCAAUGCCGCGUGAGCGAAGAAGGUUUUCGGAUCGUAAAGCUCUGUUGUAAGGGAAGAACACGUACGGGAGUAACUGCCCGUGCCAUGACGGUACCUUAUUAGAAAGCCACGGCUAACUACGUGCCAGCAGCCGCGGUAAUACGUAGGUGGCAAGCGUUGUCCGGAAUUAUUGGGCGUAAAGCGCGCGCAGGCGGUU